UACGUAGGGUGCAAGCGUUAAUCGGAAUUACUGGGCGUAAAGCGUGCGCAGGCGGUUAUGUAAGACAGAUGUGAAAUGCCCGGGCUUAACCUGGGAACUGCAUUUGUGACUGCAUGGCUAGAGUUUGGCAGAGGGGGGGUAGAAUUCCACGUGUAGCAGUGAAAUGCGUAGAUAUGUGGAGGAACACCGGUGGCGAAGGCAGCCCCCCUGGGUCAAGAUUGACGCUCAUGCACGAAAGCGUGGGGAGCAAACAGG
rnacentral:rRNA from 1 species